UAGUCUUCUACCAUGCUCGAUUAGGUUUGCUCCACCACCUGAUCUUGAGCCGGAUGCCCUUUUCAUUUCUGAUAAGUGUGCACAAGACAAGAGCAACCACAGCGAUCUUUGAGUACGGGACCUAGUUGGCCAUUUGGCGUCGAGGUUUUCGUAAUUUAUCGCAUGUCACAUCU
rnacentral:snoRNA from 1 species